rnacentral:rRNA from 1 species
AUUGAACGCUGGCGGCAGGCUUAACACAUGCAAGUCGAACGAGCGGCGGACGGGUGAGUAAUGUCUGGGAAACUGCCUGAUGGAGGGGGAUAACUACUGGAAACGGUAGCUAAUACCGCAUACCAUCGGAUGUGCCCAGAUGGGAUUAGCUAGUAGGUGGGGUAAUGGCUCACCUAGGCGACGAUCCCUAGCUGGUCUGAGAGGAUGACCAGCCACACUGGAAGUGAGACACGGUCCAGACUCCUACGGUAUGAAGCAGUGGGGAAUAGUGUACAAUGGGCGAGAGCUGGAUGCAGCCAUGCCGCGUGUAGGAAGAAGGCCUUUGGGUUGUAAAGUACUUUCAGCGGGGAGGCGUUACCCGAAGAAGAAGCACCGGCUAACUCCGUGCCAGCAGCCGCGGUAAUUC